rnacentral:tRNA from 1 species
GAGAAUAUAGCUCCAUGGUAGAGUGCUUGCUUAGCAUGCAUGAGGUCCUGGGUUCUAUUCCCAGUACCUCCA